rnacentral:rRNA from 1 species
CCUACGGGCGGCAGCAGUAGGGAAUAUUGCACAAUGGGGGAAACCCUGAAGCAGCGACGCCGCGUGAGGGAUGAAGGUUUUCGGAUUGUAAACUCCUAUUGGUAGAGAAGAUAAUGACGGUAUCUGACUAAUAAGCCCCGGCUAACUCCGUGCCAGCAGCCGCGGUAAUACGUAGGGGGCAAGCGUUACUCGGAUUCACUGGGCGUAAAGGGCGCGUAGGCGGGAGAGCAAGUCAGAUGUGAAAUCCUAUGGCUUAACCAUAGAACUGCAUUGGAAACUGUGAAUCUAGAGUAUGGGAGAGGUAGGUGGAAUUCUUGGUGUAGGGGUAAAAUCCGUAGAGAUUAAGAGGAAUACUCAUUGCGAAGGCUACCUGCUAGAACAUAACUGACGCUGAUGCGCGAAAGCGUGGGGAGCAAACAGGAUUAGAUACCCGGGUAGUC